rnacentral:piRNA from 1 species
AUCUGAAGGUUGACUCACACCAAGC